UGACACAUGGUCACCAAACAAAGAAACAGAAGUUGAUUCGUCUUCAGAGGAGGACGAAACCAUCGAGAUGGACAGCGGUACUGAUGACAGCGGUGAUGAGGACUACACACCUUAUAUACACAUAAGGACUGGAGCAGCAUUACAAAAAAUAUUACAACUUGAGACUCUGCAAGAAAUUAACAUAGAGGAUACAUGACUGUAAUAUCCCAGAAGCAACUGACCGACGUUUGACAAGCAAGAAAGGUCUUCCUCGACGCUACAAGCUAAGGCCUGAGGAUCCAAGGCGUUAUGGUUUGCUGUCCGGAGUUCCUGCACCAUCAACAGAGGAACUUCUACAACACCUACGGACUUGCGGUGAUGGUAAAACUUUGCCACAGACAUAGGUGUUGGGGGAGGCAAGAGAAAACCCAAAACCUUCUUUAUUUUUGUUUCCUGUGUUUGUUUGUUUUUUGAAAAUAAAGAUAUAUUUUGGGGAAAUAAGGAC